rnacentral:rRNA from 1 species
AUUGAACGCUGGCGGCAGGCCUAACACAUGCAAGUCGAACGAGUGGCGGACGGGUGAGUAAUGUCUGGGACACUGCCUGAUGGACGGGGAUAACUACUGGAAACGGUAGCUAAUACCGCAUACCAUCGGAUGUGCCCAGAUGUGAUUAGCUUGUUGGUGGGGUAACGGCUCACCAAGGCGACGAUCCCUAGCUGGUCUGAGAGGAUGACCAGCCACACUGGAACUGAGACACGGUCCAGACUCCUACGAGACGCAGCAGUGGGGAAUAUUGCACAAUGGGCGCAAGCCUGAUGCAGCCAUGCCGCGUGUAUGAAGAAGGCCUUCGGGUUGUAAAGUACUGUCAGCGGGGAGGCGUUACCCGCAUAAGAAGCACCGGCUAACUCCGUGCCAGCAGCCGCGGUAAUAC